CCUACGGGGGGCAGCAGUGAGGAAUAUUGGUCAAUGGGCGGAAGCCUGAACCAGCCAAGUCGCGUGAGGGAUUAAGGCCCUGCGGGUCGUAAACCUCUUUUGCCGGGGAGCAGAGGUCCGGACGUGUCCGGGCCGGGAGAGUACCCGGAGAAAAAGCAUCGGCUAACUCCGUGCCAGCAGCCGCGGUAAUACGGAGGAUGCGAGCGUUAUCCGGAUUUAUUGGGUUUAAAGGGAGCGUAGACGGCUGUGCAAGUCUGAAGUGAAAGCCCGUGGCUCAACCGCGGAACUGCUUUGGAAACUGUAUAGCUUGAGUACUGGAGAGGCAGGCGGAAUUCCUAGUGUAGCGGUGAAAUGCGUAGAUAUUAGGAGGAACACCAGUGGCGAAGGCGGCCUGCUGGACAGAAACUGACGUUGAGGCUCGAAAGCGUGGGGAGCAAACAGGAUUAGAUACCCUAGUAGUC
rnacentral:rRNA from 1 species